rnacentral:rRNA from 1 species
AACGAACGCUGGCGGCAGGCUUAACACAUGCAAGUCGAGCGCGUAGCAAUACGAGCGGCAGACGGGUGAGUAACGCGUGGGAAUCUACCCAACCCUACGGAAUAACCCAGGGAAACUUGGACUAAUACCGUAUACGCCCUUUGGGGGAAAGAUUUAUCGGGGAUGGAUGAGCCCGCGUUGGAUUAGCUAGUUGGUGGGGUAAAGGCCUACCAAGGCGACGAUCCAUAGCUGGUCUGAGAGGAUGAUCAGCCACAUUGGGACUGAGACACGGCCCAAACUCCUACGGGAGGCAGCAGUGGGGAAUAUUGGACAAUGGGCGCAAGCCUGAUCCAGCCAUGCCGCGUGAGUGAUGAAGGCCCUAGGGUUGUAAAGCUCUUUCACCGGAGAAGAUAAUGGCGGUAUCCGGAGAAGAAGCCCCGGCUAACUUCGUGCCAGCCGCCGCAGUAAUAC